UCUGCACCCUCUUCCUUUGUCCCCCUCCUCCCCCUGUUCCGCCCUCUUUUCCUCCUGCCCUCUGCCUCUUGGUCGCAGUGGAGAGCGCCAGUCCUCACCUUGAGGAGGAAAGGGCGCUGUGAGGGGAAGGAACACGCUCAGAAGAAGGUGUGAUGUGUUGUGUAUAAUUGAAAACAAAUGGGCCCCCAGUCCUGCCAGCCUUGUGGUAAUGGGGUGUUGACACUGGGGAGAAGCCCAGUGGGAGCAGUAGGACCCCAGACACCGAGGUGCAGGGUGGGAGUGGGGACGGGGCGUUGGCAUGGAUGUUGCCUCUCUGGGAGCGAGCUGUUCUCUUGUAGCUUUGCCAUCCGCGCUCCCUGGAAGAAGAGCUUCCCAGUCAGCCCCACGUAGCCCUGCUCAGCCUGGCUGCCCUCACUCACCCGGGAGGCUGCAGCGUUCAAGGGGAGGGUUUGGAGCCACAUCAUCUGGGUUCAAAUCCCAUCUCUGCCGUGUACCAGCCACACCAGCCCUCGGACUUUGGCUCUGUGACUUAACUCUGUGUUGCCCAGAGUCCUCCCGGGUAAAUCUGGGGCCCAGUGCCUCCCUGGAGGCUAAGUGCUUAGAAGCCACCUGGCAGCUGCUAAAUGGGAAAGGAGACCUUUCCACGCAGUGGUCUCCGUGUCCCUUUAUAACAUAAGCCAGGGGGCCUUUUAGACGGUCAGGUGACCGAUGGUCCUGACUGUCCCACCCCCACCCACCAGGGCUGUCCCCCGCGCUACCACCACGGAGGGCGCGGCUCGGUGGGACUGGCCGGCUCACCAUCAGCGUGCCCUUGGGAAGGAACUGUCCCUGAUUUGUUACAUUGUAUUCCCUAGGUCAGCGGAGGAGCCGGACUCAUUGCACCGUGGUGGCUGCAAGUUCCGGAAAGCUUAUCUCAACGUACCUCCCGGGACGGAGUGCUCGCCUUCCCCGGAACGAGAUUCCAUAGCCGGAGUGGAGUGACUGCGUCUAAAGCUAAUCCUGAGCGCUUCGCUUUGCACCGCAGUGUCCCCGAGGAGGAGACAGGCCGCCUCGCUGGCAUGGAGAAUGAGUGGUGGGCCCUUCGGCUGCGUUUCUCACCCCUUCUGACGUGAAGACACAGAGAGAAGACCGCCUUCCACAGCCCAGGAAUUGGCUGUCACCACACCACAUGCAGAAUCUGCAGGACCCUUGGUCUCGGACGUCCCAGCCCCCAGAACUAUGAGAAAUAAACUCUUGCUCUUUCUAAGCCACCCAGUGUAUGGUAUUUUGUUAUAUCAGCCCAAACGGAGUAAGACAGUGUCCAUCAGCAACCCCAGUCCUGCCAGGGGGAAUCGGAUCCAAGGAUAGGGGCCCGGUGGGCAAGAACCCUGAAGUUUCCUAUCGCCCCAAUUACAGUCACACACACACACACACACACACACACACACACACACACACAACUGGUAGGCACUGAGUUGCAAAUUUGAAUGAAAUAUCUUCUUCGAAGGUUCCCUCUGAGUUCCUGCCACUGGCUCACGAAGUCUUCUGAGCAAUGAUCAGUCCUGCCCCGUCCCAAGGAACGACACAGCCUUUGCCCUUGGCAUCACUUCUUAUGGUGGUUGGAGAUGGUGCCUCUCUUCUGAGUUGGCGGCCAGGCUGCCAGCGCCAAGGAUGAGGGACUCGCUCUGUGCACCGAUCCUUCUGCUUCACGACAAGAAGGGUCUGUAGCCUGUGACCCAUGAUGGCGUCCCCAGCCACUGACAGGCAUGCCGCUUGCUCAUUCCGCUGUUUGCCCCAGGUCAGUAGUCACCUGCAUGUAAAGUUAGUUCUGGGGAUGGAUAGAGCGCACUGCUUAAAGCAUGUAUGGGUUGGUGCGUUGUAGGAGUUACUUGCAAAAUGACUCCAAUAAAAUGAUUUGGGUAAAAAGCAA